UGUUAAGGAACUCGGCAAAAUGACCCCGUAACUUAGGGAUAAGGGGUGCCAUCGAAAGAUGGCCGCAGAGAAUAGGCCCAAGCGACUGUUUACCAAAAACAUAGGUUUCUGCUAAGUCGCAAGACGAUGUAUAGGAGCUGACGCCUGCCCGGUGCUGGAAGGUNNNNNNNNNNNNGACGGAAAGACCCCAUGGAGCUUUACUGUAGCUUGGCAUUGGGUCUUGGUACUACAUGUACAGCAUAGGUGGGAGGCUUUGAUUCCAGGACGCCAGUUUUGGAUGAGCCACCGUUGGGAUACCACCCCUGUAGUACUGGGACUCUAACCAGAGGCCUUGAAUCAGGUCUUGGGACACUGUCAGGCGGGCAGUUUGACUGGGGCGGUCGCCUCCCAAAAGGUAACGGAGGCGCUCAAAGGUUCUCUCAGCACGGUCGGAAAUCGUGCAUAGAGUGUAAAGGCAUAAGAGAGCUUGAUUGCAAGACAUACAGGUCGAGCAAGGACGAAAGUCGGACUUAG
rnacentral:rRNA from 1 species